CGCCGACGGCGAGCCGGGCGCCGGGGGCGAGCCCACGAGCUGCCCGCCCCGCGAGCAGCCGUACGAGGCGGGCGGCAGGAAGGGCGCGGCGGCGGCGGCGGUGCCGGGCGGGCCCUGCAGUGCUCCGGGGCAGCCUGAACGGAAAGCGCAUCCUUUUGCAGAGAAAAAGUUCUCAGUGUUCACAACGAUCCCGACACCCGGCAUCUACAGGGGCCAGCUCCGGCAAAUCUUCUGGUCCGGGGCAAAGCACACGUGUAACAACAAAAAUACGGUCAAUGGUGCGGGACGAUUUAGAGACUUUGUCUAAAUCCCAGAGCAGGGUCGCGCUGGAAAAUGCCGGUUUGAAGUCUGGCUGGACAACAGGCAUCCAAACCAAGCAGUUUACGGGGAAAUCACAGCUAGAAAGUACAUUUAAAAAACAAGAAACAGAGAGCUCUGGGAGACGUUUGCCUUGCAGAAACGCACCGGGGAUCUGGCAAGAGAUGACGAAACGCAAAAUUGAAAUCAGUUUCAAGAGCAAUCAGUGAAACUGGGAAUGAGUUCUUCAUCCUCAGAGGCAAGAUGGAAAAAUUAUCUUUUCUCUUGAAGUACUCCAGUGUCUAUACCCUCAAGAACAAUAAGGAAUCGACUAAGAGCAGCUCAAAUUAAAUUAAAGAUCUAGUAUCCUUCCCUUCCUUAGAGCCAAGCAUUUUUCUCCCUAUUCCUCCCUAUUAAUGUGCUAUAAUAACAUCUCUUUUUUUCCACUCAACGCCUGAUUUUUCCUGAAAAUGGCUAACAGAGAAUAUCUGAUGGUGUGCGAUAUAUGUUUCACUGCUGCGAAUUUGGGAGAGGUGUUCUGUGUACAUGUACACAGGUUAAAGUAAUUUUUAUCCCUUACCUAAGGAGAAUGAUGUAUAUUUCUGCCUCUCUGUAUCUAGUAAUCUACUGGACUGAAGUUCUGGCAAUCUAAUUUUGCCAUCUCUCCUUAUGAUAAGAUCAGAGAUUUUCAAACAUUUUCUUGAUUUUUCAGACUCAGAUGUUUCCUGGGGAUCCCACUGUGCUCAGGCUACCAACAACAGGCUUGGUUUGGUUUUGAGUUCACAGUCUCUGUUAAACUCUGCAGGCUGAAAACUGAGGGUUUACGUUCUGGAUUAUUUAUAUUAAUAUUUUCUCAGUGCAAUUCUCUGCUGCUGAGUGUCAUGGAGCCACAAAGCAAGGAAUAAACCAUAGCUCAUCACAAGCUGUAGAUGCUGCAGCACUUGGAGCUGCUGGGAGCAAAUCCUGGUUGAAAGCAGCAGUGCCUGCUCUGUGUCCACUCCUCGCUGGUUUUUCUGGCUGCUGUGCUCUCACAAAUGUUUCUGUGGCUGACUGGGGGCACUAAUCCGGUUUGAGAAGGACACCCUCUUCCCAAUCCUUUUCUUUCCCCCUUUUCCUUAUCCCCUCAGGUUAGUUUUAGCCUGGGCCUGCCUAGCCCCUUCCUGAGUGAGAGCUUGUUAGGGACUGAUUAGCCCAAGUUUUGAUAAAAGCCUCAUUGUUUGUAACCCCUGUAAACUACCCGGAGCUGUGCUCCCAAUAAAAGUGGGAUUAAAUAGACACCUCCGGAGUGAGACACUUGCAAGUGGGAAUUUCAGAGUUUUGAGGGACUGAGGGAUGUGUAACUCUGUGUAUCAGAAGUGAUUUUACCAAAAGUGGGAAAGAAGCCCGACUUUUGUGUUUUGGGGGGAAAAGGAACCUGGUGGGGAGGCAGAAGGAAAUCACCUGUUUGUGGCUGGGUCAAGCACACGCUCCCGGAGUCUGGAAACAUGUUUGCACCCUGCAUUCCUCCAGCCUCUCCUCAGGCUUAAGAUUCAUAAAAAGUAUUUUAAAAUCCUCAGUCUGAUCACAUGAAUUUAAUACUUCCUCGUUUUAUUUUUGCAACAGUAAAAAAGUCGACUUGGCGCUAUUGGGUUGUGUCUUUUCUGGGAGGAAUGUUAAGCAAGGGGCUUCUUCCCUCCUGCCUAGAGCAAGAAAUUGACCUGGGCUGAAAUAAAGCAUCUCUGUGCUUUUUAA